rnacentral:rRNA from 1 species
GAUGAACGCUGGCGGCGUGCCUAAUACAUGCAAGUCGAACGAACAGACGAGGCUCUUGCUCCUCUGACGUUAGCGGCGGACGGGAGAGUAACACGUGGAUAACCUCCCUAUAAGACUGGUAUAACUUCGGGAAACCGGAGCUAAUACCGGAUAAUAUAUUGAACCGCAUGGUUCAAUAGUGAAAGACGGUUUUGCUGUCACUUAUAGAUGGAUCCGCGCCGCUUUAGCUAGUUGUGAAGGUAACGGCCUACCAAGGCAACGAUGCGUAUCCGACCUGUGAGGGGGGUAGGCCGCAUUGGAACGGAGACACGGUCCAGACUACUAAGAGAGGGCGCAGUAGGGAACCGUAGGCAACGGGGGAGAGCAUGACGGAGUAACGGGGCGCGAGUGACGAAGGUCUUCGGUGCGUAAAGCUGUGCUAUUAGGGAAGAACAGAUGUGUCAGUAAACAUGCACGUCUUGACGGUAAUGAAUCAGGAAGCCACGGCUAACUACGUG